CAGCAGCCGCGGUAAUACGAAGGGGGCUAGCGUUACUCGGAAUGACUGGGCGUAGAGGGCGCGUAGGCGGUUCGUACAGUUGGAUGUGAAAUUCCUGGGCUUAACCUGGGGGCUGCAUUCAAUACGUGCGGGCUUGAGUGUGGAAGAGGGUUGUGGAAUUCCCAGUGUAGAGGUGAAAUUCGUAGAUAUUGGGAAGAACACCGGUGGCGAAGGCGGCAACCUGGUCCUUGACUGACGCUGAGGCGCGAAAGCGUGGGGAGCAAACAGGAUUAGAUACCCCUGUAGUCCCUGUCUCUUAUAC
rnacentral:rRNA from 1 species